rnacentral:lncRNA from 1 species
UUCUGUGUGGUAAUUUUUCAUCUGCACCAUAUGGAAAAAAUCAAGUUCAAGCUUUGAAAGUAGUCGUUUUGUGUUUGUACCUGGUCCAGAGGAUCCUGGAUUUGGUUCCAUCUUACCAAGGCCACCACUUGCUGAAAGCAUCACUAAUGAAUUCAGACAAAGGGUACCAUUUUCAGUUUUUACUACUAAUCCUUGCAGAAUUCAGUACUGUACACAGGAAAUUACUGUCUUCCGUGAAGACUUAGUAAAUAAAAUGUGCAGAAACUGCGUCCGUUUUCCUAGCAGCAAUUUGGCUAUUCCUAAUCACUUUGUAAAGACUAUCUUAUCCCAAGGACAUCUGACUCCCCUACCUCUUUAUGUCUGCCCAGUGUAUUGGGCAUAUGACUAUGCUUUGAGAGUGUAUCCUGUGCCCGAUCUACUUGUCAUUGCAGACAAAUAUGAUCCUUUCACUACGACAAAUACCGAAUGCCUCUGCAUAAACCCUGGCUCUUUUCCAAGAAGUGGAUUUUCAUUCAAAGUUUUUUAUCCUUCUAAUAAGACAGUAGAAGAUAGCAAACUUCAAGGCUUUUGAGAUUCUUAAAGAUCAUCUGAAGAAAAUUCAUCAGUUUUCUGCUUAACUCUAUAUCUUAUGUGAUUCUGAUAUUACAAUAAAAUUAUGGUAAACUUUA